CAUGCCCCUUAUACGCUGGGCUACACACGUGCUACAAUGGGUAGAACAGAGAGUCGCAAAGCUGUGAAGUGGAGCUAAUCUCAGAAAACUAUUCUUAGUUCGGAUUGUACUCUGCAACUCGAGUACAUGAAGUUGGAAUCGCUAGUAAUCGCGAAUCAGCAAUGUCGCGGUGAAUACGUUCUCGGGUCUUGUACACACCGCCCGUCACACCACGAGAGUUGGUUGCACCUGAAGUAGCAGGCCUAACCGUAAGGAGGGAUGCUCCGAGGGUGUGAUUAGCGAUUGGGGUGAAGUCGUAACAAGGUAUCCGUACGGGAACGUGCGGAUGGAUCACCUCCUUUCUAAGGAGUAUAAGUCUUUCUCUAUUCUAUUGGUAAUGUUCUUACAUUACUUCUGAACAUUGGAAACUAUAUAGUAGAACAAAAAUAACUCUAACAAUUUCUUAGAGUUAGCUGUCAAAAAAUAGGUUAAAAUAAAUAAGGGCACACAAAGGAUGCCUAGGUAGUAAGAGCCGAUGAAGGACGUGGUAAGCUGCGAUAAGC
rnacentral:sRNA from 1 species